UCUAUAGGGCACUAUGGGGCACUGUGUGUCUCUAUAGGGCACUAUGGGGCACUGUGUGUCUCUAUGGGGCGCUAUGGGGCACUGUGUGUCUCUAUAUGGCGCUAUGGGGCACUGUGUGGCGCUAUGGGGCCCUGUGUGUCUCUACAGGGCGCUAUGGGGCACUGUGUGGCACUAUGGGGCACUGUGUGUCUCUAUAGGGCACUAUGGGGCACUGUGUGGCGCUAUGGGGCGCUGUGUGUCUCUAUAGGGCGCUAUGGGGCACUGUGUGUCUCUAUAGGGCGCUAUGGGGCACUGUGUGUCUCUAUGGGGCGCUAUGGGGCACUGUGUGUCUCUACAGGGCGCUAUGGGGCACUGUGUGUCUCUAUGGGGCUCUAUGGGGCACUGUGU